AAGAAGCUAAAAACUAUUUAACAGAUUUCCAGUUACUUUAUGAUAAGUUAUAAUUUUCCAAUUUUCGAAAAGUCGUUGCAUUUCUAUUUUCUACCUUGUUCACUUUCGUUUCGAAACGUGCAAGCAACUGAAGCAAAAUGUUAAAGUUUUAUUGUAGUUUUUGUCACUAAAUGGCAUAGGCAGGCGGCUUGUCAGCUGACGCGGUGAAGUUUUUUCUACAACCGAGUUUUGAAGGUCGCCAUCUAGCGGUCGAAGUUGACAAUCACAAGAGGAAUUUGAAUAGACCUUUGCCCUCAAAGAAGGAGGAGUCGACUAAAUAUUGUAUUUGUCGAUCGAUUGUUAUGCCGUCCGUGACAGCAACAAGCAGUUUCACAUCACCAGUCACUAGCUGUUUUGUUUCAUUUUCUCGUGGCGUCGAUUGAGGAUAGCAUUGAAAUCGUAGGUCUGCAGAAAUUGAAAUUUCUCUGCUGAUUCCCUGGUAUUCGAAAAUCUUUCAAAAUUCUUGCAAGUAGCUUGGCCAAAACCUGAUCUGAUGAGGCAUCGCAGCACGCUUUGGAAUAUUGGAAAUAAUUUAAUGGAGAGCAUCGCGUUGCUUUUGGUUUGAUUACCGGGCAUUUGGAAUGUUUUUAAAUAUGGUGUGUUGGCAUAGAUAUCAUUCUUUGGUAGUGAGUUAUGCCACUGAGAAGCCUGUAUUUUUUCACGAAGACGUUGAGCUUUAAAUAUCAGCUAGAUUCCUUUGGCUCAAACGAUAAGGAUAUGUGACAAUGGUUUUUAUAUGAAAAUUGGCAGACAUGGAUUGGAUGGUUGACAGUUAUUUCAACCUGAAUGUUUGAUUGCCAUAAGCAGAACAACUGACUAUUACAUGUGUCAUUGUUAGUUUUUCCAGACAGAAUUUCUAGCAACUCAGUAUUCAAUAAUGUCCUUUGUAUUUUACUUAGUUAAUUUUAGAUGAUGUGCUGUAUGUCUCAUCAUCUAUUAAAAUUUUAAAAUCUUCUAAUAGAUCAACACAACUGUGAGCAAGGACUCAGCCCAGAGAUUGAAAGCCCUGAACAUAUAAAAUUAGCCCAUAUUCAAGUUGUAGCACAACAUUUGUUUAACUGUGAUUUUUCCGAAAUACCUAAGGAAGUUAAGUACGAUGCCGAAGCUGACGUCACGGCAAAGGGUAAAUUUCAAACAGCAAGUCUUGAAGUUUUUACCUCUAUUGAAGAACUGAGGUGUUUUAACAAGUGAAGAGCGUGUACGAGCCACUGAAAAUUUUUGAUCGCUUCGCAAAAUCAUCCAUUUAAAGCAAGCCUUUUUCUUACACAUUAUUGAUACGGGACAAGCUUCACGCAUUCGCUGAAUUCCGUCCCCGCGGAGUAAAUGUGGCUUAUUUAAUUGAUCCAAAUCCGAUUGAAGGGAAUUGAUGAUCCUGAGUCCUAGAACGUUCUUUGACUGCUUUUCCUUACAUAGAAUAGAAUCAGACUAGCAGAGUCAUUAGUCAUAGACCCCACCAGAGUCAUAGAACCCAUAAUUUGACGGGUUCUAUGACUCUGACCCCACAUAGGGACUCUGGGAAAAGCAAUUAAUCAUCGAUAUUUUGUAAGAUUUGGCAAUGAUGCACGGUCUUCCGGUCCAUCGCUUGUCCAUCAUCUAGGAGUCAAAGUCAAACCACGCCGGUAUUCCUAGGAUUUAUGAGAUAUUCUCAUUCAUCCAGGAAUUAUUGAUAAUAAAGGUCUUCCUAAAGAAAUACGGUGGUGAGGUUAUUUAAGAGAAGACUUCAAUUUUGCGUUGGUGAUUAAACUAGUAUGGGACUUACCUGUUCAGGGACUAAUCACCUUGCUCCUGUACAGAAACACUAAACCCGAAAGGUAUUUUUUAUUAAUAGUCUUGCAUUGUUAGGUUCUAAGGCUGUGGAAUGUUGAGUAUUGAUCUGUGGGUGGAAAUCUAAUUGACAAGGGUGAAAUAGCCCAACAUAUUGAGACAGAAAACAGGAAAAGGUACUAUGGGUAAAAUGGAAAGAGGCUACUACAAAAUCAAUUUACCAAGAAGUUAAAUAGAUUUUAAGAAAUAGGAGUUUGUGGCAGGACUGAAAUUUUUAAACUGAAGUACCAUAAAAUUAUUUUAUCCUUUUCUACUAGUAAAUUGCAAUACAAGCUUGAUUGCUCUUUUUGUUUUUGGCACCAAUUAAUCUUGUUCUUUAGGGUAUGUUAGGUGGAAGUGGAACUGUGUUGCUCAUGAAACAUUCCUGAUAAUGACUAUAAACUUUGUAGUUAAGACUGAUGUAAAUCUGAAGCAAAUCCAGAGUUUAUAAGAAGAGGUCUAUGUUUAACAUUGAAUAUUUUGAAAGCAUUUAUGUAAUCCAUGGUUUAUUUAGCUCAUGGAAUGGGGUCUGUCCACAACACAUACAAUUUAACUGCUUAAUAAUUAUU
rnacentral:lncRNA from 1 species